AAAUAAAUUAUCUAGUUAAUAAUCAACUUGUUUAAUCACCACACAAAAUCUUUUAUUUACAAAAAUUUUCCAAAACUCCGGGCGAAAAAAUAUUCCGUUACAUCCCUGAAAAUUAGUACCAAUAUAUGCCACAUAGAUGGCGCAUGCGUCGCGCUAGCCAGUGCGUGUUGCAAAUGAAACUUCUCGGUUUGUUUUUACCCGUCGUGCAUUGGUAGUUUAACAGUGGUUAGUAGAAUUGUGUGACCAACCAGUGACUGGUGCUAAGAUGGCUGACAAUAAGGAGGAAAAUAACGAGCUCGCAAAUAAUCGAGCGAGACGCUACCUGAGGAAG